rnacentral:tRNA from 1 species
GCCAGCAUGGUGCAGUGGUUUGAGUGUUGGACUACGACUCUGGAGACCAGGGUUCGAAUCCCCAUUUGGCA